GAAAGAAAAAGAGAAAUGGGGAGAGAGAACUGGAGUCUUGCUCUAUUGCCCAGGCUGGAAUGCAAUCUAAAAAUAGAUAAAAAUCCCAAUUUUCUUGGAUAUGUUUGAAACAGGUUUUUAAAGGGAAGCAGAGUGGGACAAUAGCUACACACUCCUGAGAAACAGACCACGACACUGUCUGUCUACCUCACUAUCUUCCUCUGAUAUGCUUGGGCAGUCCAGAAGUGGGAGCCAUAAAGCAGAUGAUGGUGCAGCUGUAUUGUUGACUGCAACACAUGUCCUUUUCUAAACAACACUAGGUGAAAGAGCUACAGAAAAGAUGUUUCAAACCUCCCCAUACAAACGUCAGCUGAUCCACAGCAGUCCCACAUAGAACUCUCUCAGCUCCGACAAGGAAGCGAAGCUCCCAGGUUUCCAUAUCUGGAUCUCAAGGCCUAGCAUAUGAUUCAGAGUCAUAAAAAAAGAUAUCAUUUAGAUAUUCUUUUUGAAACUACCUUCAUUUAAAAUUCCUUUUAAAACAUUCAGAAAGUCCUAAGCUAUUUGCAACCAUCUCUUGUCUCCUAAGUCACCUUAGUUUGAAAAGCUUACUCUUGGGAUGAACUGUAACGUCUCUUUAAUUAAAUAGGCUGUGUGUGAUAAGCAUCAAUUCCAUUUGCUUCCUCCUCACCCUAGAACACAUAUUUUCCUUCUUACACCCCAGUCCUUGGAGAAAAAUUUGUGGCUGCACCUGUACUGAUACGUAUCAGGUGUUCCCAACUGACGAAUGCUUGUCUGCCAGCUUCGAAGCUUCCUGGUGUUUUGCCUCCCAGCUCAAGAGAAAACAUGCGCUUCCUCACUCAAGCUUUGAUUUCUUGCAGCCACUGGAAUAACAUAUGUGCUUGCUCAACGUCUUUAUUUUGCCAACAAAACACCCACAAUCUCAAUGAUAUUUUCAACCCCUUGUAUGGCGUCCUGAUGUCUAUUUAUAUUGACAUCCAGACAUUUUAGUCUCACUACUGGCACGGAGAUGACAUUUCAUGACUAAUUAUUAUUGUGACAAAGUAAUGCAGUCUCUCUCCAGACAAAACCCCUUACUGCCAGCUGAAGCUCAAAAAUUUCCUUUUUGAAAGGUUUUGAUGAUAAUUGUGUUUGGCUUCUAAGAAACCAUCCAUUUACUAUUAUGUGAAUUCAGGAGAUUUAGAAGAGCAGAGGGCCAUGCAUUCCUCUUUAAGGCUAUUUGUACCAGUAACAGAAGAUAUGGUAUUAUUAUUCAUGUGACCAAAACACUUGACUUAUACAUCCUUGUCCUUGCUAUUAUUGGCUUAUUGUGGGAUCAUAUAUAUUACUUAUCCUAGAAUAUGGAAUAAAAAAAGCUCUACAACCAUUUAAAUAUGUAUAUUUAGCCUCUACUGUUAGGUUAGAAUGGGGUGAGGGAAGAUAAACAUGCAAGGUUAACCUAGAGUAAAAUGCCCUGAUGACACACCCCAGGAUAAUGAAAAUUUGGGUAUAAUCCAAUUAGCUCCUAUAUUCUGACCAGUCACUAUUCUUAAAUGCAGUUGUGUUAAUGUUCUUAUGUUCCGGGGAAUGGGCUGGGACAACAGAAGGAGCACGAAGGUUAACAGGAAGGCAGCAGGUGAUCCCACCUGGGAAGCAGUGUGCCAGGGCAGAGGUCUGCCGUAUUCCCAUUGGUCCAGCCUUUCAGAUUGGGUUGACAGAGCAACUUUCAACCAAGCAGGAGAUUCCUGGAGUUAUCUUGUCGUCCUUGAAGAUCCAGCGACCCACACGACCCAGAAGCAGUGUAGACCCAGAAGCAUCUACACUGAUAUUCAGACUGGGGAUUAGGGCGACAGCUCCCACUAGGUGGUUCCAAAAUGCAUCAGGGACUUUGAUGCGUUUGGAUGAUACUAAGAAUUCCCUAUGGUAACUCCCAGCUAGAAGGCAAGAUAAUUUUAUUAACCUCCCAGUAAUGUAACCCUACAGGUGACACAAUCUGUAGUAAGUCUUUCUGGACUCCACUUAUGGUAGGAUUCUACCAUAGCUCCCUAGUUACUCUUAAAAUAUGACUGAUGUUCCCUUAACAUUAUGGAAUCAGACAAGUGUAUCAUGACAUUGACUCUUCAGCACAAGUAUCUUCUUCCAACUCCUCAAAUAUAUUCUAUCAAGUAAGGUUAAGAUGAUGGUUUUUAGGCAGCUUUGCUGUGAAAGGGCAAACUAUAUUCCAGAUUUUGGCACUGGGAUACAUAUGAAUACGUGUAUGUGUAUAUAUGCAAUAUAUAUGUUUACAAAUAUAUGCUAUUGUUUGUACUAAUUAAAUGUAAAAUCAUAGGUAAAUUUAGAUUUGCAUUUAAUGUACAGAGCUUGAGAUGCUAAUGCACAGGUUGCAAGUGAAAAGUAAACAAAGCACAGUGUGUGUUACGGAUACCCUACCAAACUAACACACAGCUUGCAAUUCAGUUUGAGCAUUUAUGUUUUUUCUUUUUUUAUCCUAUUUUCUUUCUUUAUUUCUUUUUUUUUUUUUCUUUGGAGUCAGUCUUUCUCUGUAACCCAGGCUGGAGUGCAGUGACAUAAUCUUGGCUCACUGCAACCUCCACCUCCCGGUUCAAGCAAUUCUUGUGCUUCAGAGUCAUGAGUGGCUACGAUAACAGGUGUGCAUCAUGCCUGGCUAUCUUUUGUAGUUUUAGUAGAGAUGGGGCUUUCAUUAUGUUGGCCCUGCUGGUUUUGAACUCCUGACUUCAAGUGAUUCGCCCCACUCAGCCUCCCAAAGUACUGGGAUUACAGGCAUGAACCACCAAGCCCAGCCUUUUUAAUCCUAUUUUCAAAGAUAGAAGUUGGUAGCUGCUUUAGUGUACAAUGAGUCUGCAGGGGAAUUCAGUAAAGCAGAUAAGUAUUGUUUGGGGAAGAAUCAGUUAAGUGGUUUCCUCACUUCCAUAAGCAUGGUGUGAACAGACUCCAUUUUCCUGAUGGACAGUAUCACUUUGAAAAAUUUUCCUUGUUCUGGGAAGGGUCAUGUAAGUGGCCUUGCUUAGUCACUUAAGUGCAGGGUGAGUUGGCUGUUAUUCUGGAAAAGGCGUAUAAUCAGAACUUUGAUAUCUCAGUGUCUUUAUAAAGUUGUGAGGUCAUCACUGCAGAAAAAGGUGGGAAUUUCCAUGGCCAAAUGCUCCUGGGGUCAUGUUCCAUUCUGAGAAGUGACCCUGGAUGGGAACUGAAAAAAGUUUAGUCACUAAGGGAUUCUUGAGCUCAGGAAUCUCAGAUCAGGAGGGUCUUGUAAUGGGACAAGAUAUUGGGGAUGGUCUUUCCCUAUAAAGAAGUAAUGUGAAAAGCCCUCUGGCUUCUAGGGUGUAGGUUGCUUUCCAUCUUGUAUUGCUCCAGAGAACUCCAAACAAAUGUUCUGGGACACCUCUCACCCUAGGUUUCUCAGCUUGAGCACACUGCUUCUCUGGAGCCAGAACUUGUCAAAUAUAAUUGACAUAGACAUGACACUUCCCACAAUUAUGUUAACUUACACCUAUGUAGAUUUGGGGGAGUAAACCAAAGAAGAGUAGAGUUUAGUUGACAUUCAGUACAGUUUAGCUCGAAGUCAUAUAAGUUCAUGGUUGGUGAGCUUGUCCAAGCCUGAGAAAAAUUAUGUUGAUUUAUGUUUGAAUUUCUAGCAUUUAUCACAGCACUUAGACUCUAGGAGGCAUUCAGCAAGGUUAUUCGCUAUUGAAAUAUUGAUAACAGUGGUGGUAAAGAUGCUGUCUUUCUCUUAGAGGGGCUCACUUGCUAACAUCUGCACAUCCAGCCAAGGCAGGAAAACACAGACCUUAACGGCAGGAUUAUCCUGAGAAUUUCUUCUGGUUUGUCUUGGGCAUACCUGAACUUAGUCAACACAUACAUUCUCCUCUGUAGUUACUGCUCAAGUUUUCUCUUCCUCCCUCCUUACCUUUUUCUAUUAUUGUUUGAAAUUUUGAAAAUUUGUUUAGAUACUUGCACCUGGGGCCAAAUAAGACUAUUUCCUAUAUGAAGGAGCUUAACUUCAUCUUUGAGCUCUGUCUGGGUGCUGUAUGAAGGGGAGGACUAUUCAGCCUUUGGAUCCAUGUCCAUAGGGGUCAUCUUGUGCCACUAUCUAAGAGAUUCCCUUUUUAUGACGUAUCAGUUCAUUUUCAUGCUGCUGAUAAAGGCAUACCUGAGACUGGGCAAUUUACAAAAGAAAGAGGUUAAAUUGGACUUACAGUUUCAUGUGACUGAGGAAGCCUCACAAUCAUGGUGAAAAGCAAGGAGUAAGUCAUGUCUUACAUGGAUGGCAGCAGCAAAGAGGGCUAGUGCAGGGGAACUACCCUUUUUAAAACCAUUCUGUCUUGUGAGACUUCUUCACUAUCAUGAGAACAGCAUGAGAAAGACCUGCCCCCAUGAUUCAAUUACCUCCACUGGGUCCCUCCCACAACAUGUGGGAGUUCAAGAUGAGAUUUGGGUGGGGACACAGCCAAACCAUAUCACAUGGGGAGUCACAGAUUACAGUCUUCACCAUUGUCUCUGGGAAUUAAGUUGGGGGUGGGAAGAAUUCAGAUUUUCAUUUUUUGUCUUUCUGCCAAAGAUCAGUCAUUGGAUACUUAAUGCCUAAUCCACCCACUGGUCACCACAGGACCAAGUAAAGAGGAUCUACCACUUAAUCUCAAGUUUGGCUUUGGAUACAAGGACUCUGCUUUAGGGUGUGUUUGUUUACCUUCUCCAGGUCUUUCCUUAAAUGUUGUCUAAUCUUGGAGCACAGUAUUUAGGGCACAUCACUUCUUUACAGAGAAAGACCAUCCCCAAUAUCUUGUCCCAUUACAAGACCCUCCUGAUCUGAGAUUCCUGAGCUCAAGAAUCCCUUAGUGACUAAACUUUUUUCAGUUCCCAUCCAGGGUCACUUCUCAGAAUGGAACAUGACCCCAGGAGCAUUUGGCCAUGGAAAUUCCCACCUUUUUCUGCAGUGAUGACCUCACAACUUUAUAAAGACACUGAGAUAUCAAAGUUCUGAUUAUACGCCUUUUCCAGAAUAACAGCCAACUCACCCUGCACUUAAGUGACUAAGCAAGGCCACUUACAUGACCCUUCCCAGAACAAGGAAAAUUUUUCAAAGUGAUACUGUCCAUCAGGAAAAUGGAGUCUGUUCACACCAUGCUUAUGGAAGUGAGGAAACCACUUACCUGAUUCUUCCCCAAACAAUACUUAUCUGCUUUACUGAAUUCCCCUGCAGACUCAUUGUACAUUAAAGCAGCUACCAACUUUUGUUUUUGAAAAUAGGAUAAAAAAGGCUGGGCUUGGUGGUUCAUGCCUGUAAUCCCAGUACUUUGGGAGGCUGAGUGGGGCGAAUCACUUGAAGUCAGGAGUUCAAAACCAGCCGGGCCAACAUAAUGAAAGCCCCAUCUCUACUAAAACUACAAAAGAUAGCCAGGCAUGAUGCACACCUGUAAUCGUAGCCACUCAUGACUCUGAGGCACAAGAAUUGCUUGAACCGGGAGGUGGAGGUUGCAGUGAGCCAAGAUUAUGUCACUGCACUCCAGCCUGGGUUACAGAGAAAGACUGACUCCAAAGAAAAAAUAAAAAGGAAAAAAAGAAAGAAAAUAGGAUGAAAAAAGAAAAAACAUAAAUGCUCAAACUGAAUUGCAAGCUGUGUGUUAGUUUGGUAGGGUAUCCGUAACACACACUGUGCUUUGUUUACUUUUCACUUGCAACCUGUGCAUUAUCAUCUCAAGCUCUGUACAUUAAAUGCAAAUCUAAAUUUACCUAUGAUUUUGCAUUUAAUUAGAUACAUAUUUUCUCCAUAUCAUUCAUCAACAUUUGACCUGCCACAGAUGUAACUUACAUACGUUCUUCAUUGUUUCUCUUCCCAUUAGAUACUGUACAUUUCAUGAAGGUGUGAGUUUUGGUCUGUUGUUCAUUACUGCAGUCACAGUGACUAGAACAGUGUCUAGUUCAACACUAUUUAUGAAAGGAAGAAGGAAA